AGCAGUAUGGCGCAGUUUGGCAGCGCACGGGAUGCAUGUUUGCCGCAGUAUCUGCGAUGUUCGAAAGUCCUGAGGCUACUUGUUCGAAUCAGGUUGCUGCUG